rnacentral:rRNA from 1 species
CAGUCGCCGCGGUAAUACGUAGGUGGCAAGCGUUGUCCGGAAUUAUUGGGCGUAAAGGGCUCGCAGGCGGUUUCUUAAGUCUGAUGUGAAAGCCCCCGGCUCAACCGGGGAGGGUCAUUGGAAACUGGGAAACUUGAGUGCAGAAGAGGAGAGUGGAAUUCCACGUGUAGCGGUGAAAUGCGUAGAGAUGUGGAGGAACACCAGUGGCGAAGGCGACUCUCUGGUCUGUAACUGACGCUGAGGAGCGAAAGCGUGGGGAGCGAACAGGAUUAGAUACCCCGGUAGUCCCUGUCUCUUAUAU